rnacentral:rRNA from 1 species
AAUGAACGUUGGCGGCGUGGAUUAGGCAUGCAAGUCGAGCGCUCACCCGCAAGGGUGGGAGCGGCGAAAGGGAGAGUAACGCGUGGGUAUCUGCCCUCGGGACUGGGAUAGCUGCGGGAAACUGCAGGUAAUACCAGCUGACGUCCCCGGACCAAAGGUGUGAUUCCGCCUGAGGAUGAGCCCGCGUCCUAUUAGCUUGUUGGUGGGGUAAUGGCCUACCAAGGCAAUGAUGGGUACUGGGUGGGAGAGCACGACCCAGCUCACUGGGACUGAGACACUGCCCAGACACCUACGGGUGGCUGCAGUUGAGAAUCUUCGGCAAUGGGCGAAAGCCUGACCGAGCGACGCCGCGUGUGGGAUGAAGGCCUUCGGGUUGUAAACCGCUGUCAGAGGGGAGGAAUGGGCGGAGGGUGAUCUCUUCGUUUUGACCUAUCCUCAGAGGAAGUACGGGCUAAGUUCGUGCCAGCAGCCGCCGUAACAC